rnacentral:misc_RNA from 1 species
GAGAAGAGCAAGGUCAGAAACUCAUGACUGUCCUGCUGAACGCCAUUAUCUAGCUCCAGAGUUUGGAUAAAUGGAGCAGAAUCAACAAAAGCCAUUUUGUACAAAUGUAACUUUGCAAACAGUCGUGCUAGUUGGUCUAACACUGGUUGUUGUUUCAAAACAUCUGGUUCAAUAGAGAAUACACCCUCCCUGAAUGACUUAUUCAUAUACAGGCAUUGCAGAAUACUGUUAGCAUAGCACGUAGCACCCAGAUUUGUCAACCCAGCAGGUGUCUCUGGGGAUGCACGACAAUCAUCGGAAGGAUCAGAACCGAGAGCAUUGACCACUUCG